UACGUAGGGACCGAGCGUUGUCCGGAAUCAUUGGGCGUAAAGAGCGUGUAGGCGGCCACUUAAGUCCUGCGUGAAAUCUUGCGGCUCAACCGCAAGCGGUCGUGGGAAACUGGGUGGCUAGAGUGCGGGAGAGGAGAGUGGAAUUCCUGGUGUAGCGGUGGAAUGCGCAGAUAUCAGGAAGAACACCCGUGGCGAAGGCGGCUCUCUGGGACGGUACUAACGCUGAGACGCGAAAGCGUGGGGAGCGAACAGG
rnacentral:rRNA from 1 species